AUUGAACGCUGGCGGCAGGCCUAACACAUGCCAGUCGAACGGUAACAGGAAGCAGCUUGCUGCUUCGCUGACGAGUGGCGGACGGGUGAGUAAUGUCUGGGAAGCUGCCUGAUGGAGGGGGAUAACUACUGGAAACGGUAGCUAAUACCGCAUAAUGUCGCAAGACCAAAGAGGGGGACCUUCGGGCCUCUUGCCAUCGGAUGUGCCCAGAUGGGAUUAGCUUGUUGGUGGGGUAACGGCUCACCAAGGCGACGAUCCCUAGCUGGUCUGAGAGGAUGACCAGCCACACUGGAACUGAGACACGGUCCAGACUCCUACGGGAGGCAUCAGUGGGGAAUAUUGCACAAUGGGCGCAAGCCUGAUGCAGCCAUGCCGCGUGUAUGAAGAAGGCCUUCGGGUUGUAAAGUACUUUCAGCGGGGAGGAAGGGAGUAAAGUUAAUACCUUUGCUCAUUGACGUUACCCGCAGAAGAAGCACCGGCUAACUCCGUG
rnacentral:rRNA from 1 species